GACAGAGGGUGCAACCGUUGUUCGGAAUUACUGGGCGUAAAGCGCAUGUAGGCGGCCAAGCAGGUCGGAUGUGAAAUCCCUCGGCUCAACCAAGGAAGUGCAUUCGAAACCGCAUGGCUCGAGUCCCGGAGAGGAAGGUGGAAUUCUCGGUGUAGAGGUGAAAUUCGUAGAUAUCGAGAGGAACACCGGUGGCGAAAGCGGCCUUCUGGACGAGGACUGACGCUGAGAUGCGAAAGCGUGGGGAGCAAACAGG
rnacentral:rRNA from 1 species